AUCGGACGAGGACGGCCGGAAGUGGUCUCGAUUCCCUCCUACAGCAGUAGAGGCUGAGGAGAAAGUGGGGGGCACUCUACUUAAAGGGGAGCCCAGGAUCACGAUGGAGAAGCAAAGUCCCAGCAGGGUCAGUGGGUUGCUGCCCUAGUUUCCCUUUCCCGGGCUGAGUCGCCUUUUCCCCAGGGCUGGCUCUGCACCCAUCACCAUCUCAUUAGAAACCCUGCCUUCCCACUGUAAGCGUCCAGUUGCCCGCUGUCUCCUAGUCUGAGGUGUGGCCUUGCUCUUGUCCCAGAGGGGAUGCUCGGUUCUCCUGGUGGCUCUUGGGACACCUUCUGAACCCAGCUCCUUUUAGGACCCAGGGGAAGUCAUUUACCCUACGCCUAUUCCCUGCGUUAAGUUCCUGGUUUCUGAGGUGGUUAAGAGCCGUAACAGGAGAGGUGGCAGUGUGACCUGUGCCCAGUACCGAAGUCCCAGAAGUCCCUUUGCCUUCAUCUCAGUUUCCUCCCAGAUUGGACUACUAUGAAGCAAAAUCCGUGCUGUUUCUUCUGUGGGUACAAAACACAGGAUCCAGACCGGUAGGGCAUCCUGCUAAAGGGGGCCUGAAAUACCACCUACCAACACCACUGGUUCAUCCUCUGGGGAAACCUCUUUACCUGGAACACCAGGCAGACCACAUGCCCCUGAGCCUCAUCCUGUUAGAGAACUACCAAGUGGAGCCACACCUUGGGGCCACAGAACCCCUAUGCCUUUACCAUCCUGACACCAGGGGUAGAAGGUGGGCAGGCCUACAAGCUGGCAGCAGAAAACCAGGAGCUGGAAGCCUGGCUGUGGGCACUGGCUAGGGCAAGCUGGAGGUGGCUGGCUGUGCUGCUACGCCCCCUGGAGGCCCAGUACCGGGAGCUGUACCAGGGAGCUGGCCAAGAUCACCCCCAGAGGACUGUGACUUCCCAGCCACCUUCAGUCCCCUCUCCAGCUUCCAGGAGUUGCAUGAGCACUUUGGGAAGGAGAUCCAGGUGCUGCAGGCAGUGCAAAGAGGGCUCCAAGAGGCCAGUGACAAUGGAGGCAGCAGAUCCCAGGCAGAGGUGGAGCUCAAUCAUUACCUGUUGAUAAGUGACUGAGAGAUGGAUCAAAGGCCAAAAGGUACCUACUGGCCAAGACCAGCUGACCGCUUCAACAGACACCCAGAUCCUGGCUGGCUCUAUCACUCCCUCCCUCCUAGUACUUACUCUAACCCCCUUCAUCAAAUAACAAGGCAGGAGACGGACCCAGGUACAACAGCAGGUUCUUUUCCGGUUCCUCAAAGCGCUGUACGGGGUGGGGGCAGAGACAGAAGAAAAUGUAAACACUGGGUUCCACCCCCUGGAGCUCAAGGGAAGACCCCUUACCCAGGUACGGGCUGGAGGGUUGGAAGGGAACAAGGUAAAAGGUGGGGGUUCUGGUGAGACAAAGCAGGGGAGGCCUGAGAAUACAGAGAAAGGUAGAUGAAGAGGAAGGAGAGCAAGGAGGGUGGUGGUGGGGAAGAGGGGGACAUUUCCUGUUCCAGUGCAUGUCCCCUUAAAUAAACUAGAGUGCAAGAACAUUGUGGAGGGAGAACCAAAGGACAGAAGAUAGAGUGAACACCCCCACCCUGGGCUGACCAGGUCUUCUGUACAUAAUUACAACACAGAGAUGUCCAGAAGUAGAGCAAGAAGAGUCUUGGCCCCCAGCCAGGAAGUGGGGGAGAUAGGCAAGACUCAAGAAGGGAAAAAGGAACCCAGCUCCACUUCAUGGGUAAGGGGAGUGACUGGAGUGUAAGAAUCUGAAAACCGCUGACUCCCAUCGCCAAGAGUCACCCCUGUGGUGACAAAAGGCCAGUCAGGACAGCACCUGGGAAGGGACCCCAGAAGGAAUUGGGGCAGAAGUGACAGAGACCCCAGCUGGGCUUAACUAGAGGUGAGGGGCUCCAGAUUUGCUCACUGCUGCCCCAGGGAAAUGCAGCUGCCCUGUGUACUCUGACUGUCCUGGCUGUGUAGGGAUCAGCAGCUGGCAAGGAAAUGGGGAAUCAAGCCACUUUCCUCAGAAAGAGGGACACCUGCCAAGGGGGUUGGGAGCAACACCCCAGGCCAGGCCUGCU